AAGAUGGCGACCGGCGCACGGGUGAGUAACACGUAUCCAACCUGCCGAUAACUCUGGAAUAGCCUUUCGAAAGAAAGAUUAAUACCGGAUGGCAUACGAAUAUCGCAUGAUAUUUUUUAUUAAAGAAUUUCGGUUAUCGAUGGGGAUGCGUUCCAUUAGUUUGUUGGCGGGGUAACGGCCCACCAAGACAACGAUGGAUAGGGGUUCUGAGAGGAAGGUCCCCCACAUUGGAACUGAGACACGGUCCAA
rnacentral:rRNA from 1 species